GACGAACGCUGGCGGCGUGCUUAACACAUGCAAGUCGAACGGAAAGGCCCUGCUUUUGUGGGGUGCUCGAGUGGCGAACGGGUGAGUAACACGUGAGUAACCUGCCCUUGACUGUGGGAGAACUUCAGGAAACUGGGGCUAAUACCGGCUAGGAGCUCCUGCUGCAUGGUGGGGGUUGGAAAGUUUCGGCGGUUGGGGAUGGACUCGCGGCGUAUCAGCUUGUUGGUGGGGUAGUGGAUUACCAAGGCUUUGACGGGUAGCCGGCCUGAGCGGGUGACAGGCCACACUGGGACUGAGAUGCGGCCCAGACUCCAACGGGAGGCAGCGGUGGGGAAUAGUGCACAAUGGGCGGAAGCCUGAUGCAGUAACGCCGCGUGCGGGAUGACGGCCUGCGGGUAGUAAACCGCUUUCGCCUGUGACGAAGCGUGAGUGACGGUAACGGGUAAAGAAGCACCGGCUAACUACGUG
rnacentral:rRNA from 1 species